GGAUGGGAUGGAGAGGGGACCAAAACAUGUCCCUGGGGAGGGAUGGGAUGGAGAGGACACCAAAAUGUGUCCCUGGGGAAGGAUGGGAUGGGGAGGGGAGCAGUGGCAGAGCAUGACGCACAACACGCACACGUGUGACAUCAAGCCGUCACCCAGGGUGACGUCAUGCCACAGAGGAUGACCUGAUGUCACCCAUGGAGAUGCCACCGCAGCGGGUCCCCUCCGACCCCCUGGGUCACCCCGGUGUCCCCAUCACCAGCUCAGGGUCCCCAAGGAGGUGCCGCAGCCACAGUCCAGGGGGUGCAUCGCUCCUCCCCAGCACCUCUCCCCAAAUUCAGCAUCUGCUGGAGUUUUCCUCUGGGUGUCAUGAGCUGGGAUGGGAAAACAGAACCAUUAAACAUGUGUGGUGGUUUGG